rnacentral:rRNA from 1 species
GAUGAACGCUAGCUACAGGCUUAACACACGCAAGUCGAGGGGUAACGAGAGGAAAGCUUGCUUUCCCUGUCGACGACCGGCGCACGGGUGAGUAACGCGUAUCCAACCUGCCCCCAACUAGGGAAUAACCUUGCGAAAGUAAGACUAAUACCCUAUAAUUUCCUCAGAUGCCAUCUGACGAGGAAUAAAGAUUUAUCGGUUGUGGAUGGGGAUGCGUCUGAUUAGCUUGUUGGCGGGGUAACGGCCCACCAAGGCAACGAUCAGUAGGGGUUCUGAGAGGAAGGUCCCCCACAUUGGAACUGAGACACGGUCCAAACUCCUACGGGAGGCAGCAGUGAGGAAUAUUGGUCAAUGGGCGGAAGCCUGAACCAGCCAAGUAGCGUGCAGGAUGACGGCCCUAUGGGUUGUAAACUGCUUUUAUACAGGAAUAAAGUUAGCCACGUGUGGUUAUUUGUAGGUACUGUAUGAAUAAGGACCGGCUAAUUCCGUGCCAGCCGCCGCAGUAACAC